rnacentral:rRNA from 1 species
CUGGUUCUCCCCGAAAGCUAUUUAGGUAGCGCCUCGUGAAUUCAUCUCCGGGGGUAGAGCACUGUUUCGGCUAGGGGGUCAUCCCGACUUACCAACCCGAUGCAAACUGCGAAUACCGGAGAAUGUUAUCACGGGAGACACACGGCGGGUGCUAACGUCCGUCGUGAAGAGGGAAACAACCCAGACCGCCAGCUAAGGUCCCAAAGUCAUGGUUAAGUGGGAAACGAUGUGGGAAGGCCCAGACAGCCAGGAUGUUGGCUUAGAAGCAGCCAUCAUUUAAAGAAAGCGUAAUAGCUCACUGGUCGAGUCGGCCUGCGCGGAAGAUGUAACGGGGCUAAACCAUGCACCGAAGCUGCGGCAGCGACACUGUGUGUUGUUGGGUAGGGGAGCGUUCUGUAAGCCUGUGAAGGUGGCCUGUGAGGGUUGCUGGAGGUAUCAGAAGUGCGAAUGCUGACAUAAGUAACGAUAAAGCGGGUGAAAAGCCCGCUCGCCGGAAGACCAAGGGUUCCUGUCCAACGUUAAUCGGGGCAGGGUGAGUCGACCCCUAAGGCGAGGCCGAAAGGCGUAGUCGAUGGGAAACGGGUUAAUAUUCCCGUACUUGGUGUUACUGCGAAGGGGGGACGGAGAAGGCUAUGUUGGCCGGGCGACGGUUGUCCCGGUUUAAGCGUGUAGGUGUGUGUUCCAGGUAAAUCCGGUUCACUUUAACACUGAGGCGUGAUGACGAGGCACUACGGUGCUGAAGCAACAAAUGCCCUGCUUCCAGGAAAAGCCUCUAAGCAUCAGGUAACAUCAAAUCGUACCCCAAACCGACACAGGUGGUCAGGUAGAGAAUACCAAGGCGCUUGAGAGAACUCGGGUGAAGGAACUAGGCAAAAUGGUGCCGUAACUUCGGGAGAAGGCACGCUGACACGUAGGUGAAGUGAUUUACUCAUGGAGCUGAAGUCAGUCGAAGAUACCAGCUGGCUGCAACUGUUUAUUAAAAACACAGCACUGUGCAAACACGAAAGUGGACGUAUACGGUGUGACGCCUGCCCGGUGCCGGAAGGUUAAUUGAUGGGGUCAGCGCAAGCGAAGCUCCUGAUCGAAGCCCCGGUAAACGGCGGCCGUAACUAUAACGGUCCUAAGGUAGCGAAAUUCCUUGUCGGGUAAGUUCCGACCUGCACGAAUGGCGUAAUGAUGGCCAGGCUGUCUCCACCCGAGACUCAGUGAAAUUGAACUCGCUGUGAAGAUGCAGUGUACCCGCGGCAAGACGGAAAGACCCCGUGAACCUUUACUAUAGCUUGACACUGAACAUUGAGCCUUGAUGUGUAGGAUAGGUGGGAGGCUUUGAAGCGUGGACGCCAGUCUGCGUGGAGCCGACCUUGAAAUACCACCCUUUAAUGUUUGAUGUUCUAACGUGGACCCGUUACCCGGGUUGCGGACAGUGUCUGGUGGGUAGUUUGACUGGGGCGGUCUCCUCCUAAAGAGUAACGGAGGAGCACGAAGGUUGGCUAAUCCUGGUCGGACAUCAGGAGGUUAGUGCAAUGGCAUAAGCCAGCUUGACUGCGAGCGUGACGGCGCGAGCAGGUGCGAAAGCAGGUCAUAGUGAUCCGGUGGUUCUGAAUGGAAGGGCCAUCGCUCAACGGAUAAAAGGUACUCCGGGGAUAACAGGCUGAUACCGCCCAAGAGUUCAUAUCGACGGCGGUGUUUGGCACCUCGAUGUCGGCUCAUCACAUCCUGGGGCUGAAGUAGGUCCCAAGGGUAUGGCUGUUCGCCAUUUAAAGUGGUACGCGAGCUGGGUUUAGAACGUCGUGAGACAGUUCGGUCCCUAUCUGCCGUGGGCGCUGGAGAACUGAGGGGGGCUGCUCCUAGUACGAGAGGACCGGAGUGGACGCAUCACUGGUGUUCGGGUUGUCAUGCCAAUGGCACUGCCCGGUAGCUAAAUGCGGAAGAGAUAAGUGCUGAAAGCAUCUAAGCACGAAACUUGCCCCGAGAUGAGUUCUCCCUGAGACUUAGAGUCUCCUGAAGGAACGUUGAAG